UACCUGCAGCCCAAGUGGUGGCCGUUAUUAUUGGGCCUAAAACGUCCGUAGCCGGUUCUAUAAAUGCCUGGGUAAAUCGUACGGCUUAACCGUACGAAUUCCGGGUAGACUGUAGGACUUGAGACCGGGAGAGGCUAGAGGUACUCCUGGGGUAGAGGUGAAAUUCUGUAAUCCUAGGGGGACCACCAGUGGCGAAGGCGUCUAGCUAGAACGGGUCUGACGGUGAGGGACGAAGCCCUGGGGCG
rnacentral:rRNA from 1 species